GAUGAACGCUAGCUACAGGCUUAACACAUGCAAGUCGAGGGGAAACGACAUCGAAAGCUUGCUUUUGAUGGGCGUCGACCGGCGCACGGGUGAGUAACGCGUAUCCAACCUGCCCAUCACUUGGGAAUAACCUUGCGAAAGUAAGACUAAUACCCAAUGAUAUCCCACGAAGGCAUCGGAAUGGGAUUAAAGAUUUAUCGGUGAUGGAUGGGGAUGCGUCUGAUUAGCUUGUUGGCGGGGUAACGGCCCACCAAGGCAACGAUCAGUAGGGGUUCUGAGAGGAAGGUCCCCCACAUUGGAACUGAGACACGGUCCAAACUCCUACGGGAGGCAGCAGUGAGGAAUAUUGGUCAAUGGGCGAGAGCCUGAACCAGCCAAGUAGCGUGCAGGAAGACGGCCAUAUGGGUUGUAAACUGCUUUUAGAAGGGAAUAAAGUGGGUCAAGUGUGACUUUUUGCAUGUACCUUAUGAAUAAGGACCGGCUAAUUCCGUG
rnacentral:rRNA from 1 species